AACUGAUAAAUGUGUAGUUUUGUGUUUUAACAUAUUGGUAUCUGAAUUCAAAGAAACAAAAUAUAAAAUUUUUUAUGAAAAAAUUGAAUCUUCAAUCAUCGUUUACUGAAUCAAUAAUAGUAUUAAUAUGGACUAUCUCAACUUAAAUUGAUAAUUGUUUUUGUCUACAAUUACACUACUACCAACGUCAAAUAUGGUGUAUUAUAUUAUUGUAAUUAAUCAGUCUAAACCAAUUCCAUCAAUACAUUGUCGAAUGUUGUGGUAUUCAAUUUUCAGUAAAUUUAUAGGCGUUUUAUUUUAAGUUACUGUGGCACACUAUUGCAGAUAACAGUUUUCCAUCAAGUCAGUAAGAAGAAUAAGAUGGAUUCACAAGUUCAAAUCAAAUAUUAGACAACUAUAUAUAUUUAGUUAUUCAGCUAAAAAUGUAGUUCAAUAAAAUAUUUUAAAAGUACUUUAUCAUUUUAAAAGUGACAAAGUUUUUAAACUCUAAGUAU